CAGGAUGUAUGAAAGACUCACAUAGCCCAAAGAAAAUCAUCAUAAUCAUGAGAGGAUGAAAUAAGUACAAUAACACAUGUGAGUCAUCAUAUAAUUUGUCAAUCACUUUUAGUUCAUCAAGAAUAUCAAUUCUCAUAAUGUAACUAUCAUUUAAAUCUUUCGAAAGAAUAACUUUCACAAUUCCACUUUCAAAUCACUUCACCAUUCACCAUAGACACAAGGAAACACACACACACUGGGAGAUCCUAUAACCGACAUAAACUAUGUGAGCUACAUGGAGUCCAACGUACA
rnacentral:lncRNA from 1 species